rnacentral:rRNA from 1 species
CCUACGGGUGGCAGCAGUGAGGAAUAUUGGUCAAGGGGCGCGAGCCUGAACCAGCCAAGUAGCGUGAAGGAUGAAGGCCCUACGGGUUGUAAACUUCUGUUAUAAAGGAAUAAAGUGAGGCACGAGUGCCCUUUUGGAUGUACCUUAUGAAAAAGGAUCGGCUAACUCCGUGCCAGCAGCCGCGGUAAUACGGAGGAUCCGAGCGUUAUCCGGCUUUAUUGGGUUUAACGGGAGCGUAGAUGGGUUGUUAAGUCAGUUGUGAAAGUUUGCGGCUCAACCGGAAAAUUGCAAUUGAUACUGGCAGUCUUGUGUACAGUUGCGGUAGUCUGAAUUCGUGGUGUAGCGG